rnacentral:rRNA from 1 species
GAUGAACGCUGGCGGCGUGCUUAACACAUGCAAGUCGAACGGUGAAGGCGGAGCUUGCUCUGCUGGAUCAGUGGCGAACGGGUGAGUAACACGUGAGCAAUCUGCCCCUGACUCUGGGAUAAGCUCUGGAAACGUCGUCUAAUACUGGAUACGAGCUGCGACGGCAUCUUCAGCAGCUGGAAAGAACUUCGGUCAGGGAUGAGCUCGCGGCCUAUCAGCUUGUUGGUGAGGUAACGGCUCACCAAGGCGUCGACGGGUAGCCGGCCUGGUAGGGUGACCGGACACACUGGGACUGAGACAAGGCACAGACUCCUACGGGAGGCAGCAGUGGGGAAGAUUGCACAAUGGGCGGAAGCCUGAUGCAGCAACGCCGCGUGAGGGACGACGGCCUUCGGGUUGUAAACCUCUUUUAGCAGGGAAGAAGCGAAAGUGACGGUACCUGCAGAAAAAGCGCCGGCUAACUACGUG